GGGGGUGUAGCUCAGCUGGGAGAGCACCUGCUUUGCACGCAGGGGGUCAGCGGUUCGAAUCCGCUCAUCUCCA
rfam:Moorella thermoacetica ATCC 39073, complete genome.